GCGCCAUUAGCUCAGUUGGUAGAGCAGCUGACUCUUAAUCAGCGGGUCCGGGGUUCGAGACCCUGAUGGCGCA
rnacentral:tRNA from 2 species